AACAAGGAGAAAGAAGAUUACAAAGAUCAUAUACAACCACGAAUGUCAACAGCUCUGAACCUGAAAAAACUAAACAAAGGGCUUCAAAUCCAUUGAAUAACGUUAAUAUAAGACAAACUCUGUCCCAAGUGCACCCUUUAACGACUACCCUCUCAUGUAAUAAUAAAAAGUCUUCGCAUUCUCAAAGAUUAAAUAAAAAUUCUACCAUGACUGAUGAAAGUGAUGAUGAUGGUGGUGAUUAGACUGAAGACUUUAACAAUAAUGAAAACAAUCUUCAAUUAGACGAUUUCCAAAUCCAAAAUCAAGAUACUAACUCUAACUUGCAGAUGACAGAACUGAAAAAAUUCAUGACUUCAGAACUUGAAAGAAUAAAGAGAAGCAUUCAAUAUGAUUUAAAAAAUCGAAUUGAUAACUUACUAAGUAUCAUACACGCAGAAAGCGCUAAGCGCUCAAAUGCAGAAAGCCCAUGGAAAAUAUUGGGAACAAAAUUACCGAAUGAAACUUUAGAAGACUUCAUUCUAUUUGAAGAAAGUUUAAUCGAUAUUUCUAAACAGGACGCAUUGAAAGAAAUUUUUCAUCUUGUAACUGUCGGCUCUACUAAUUAGGAACGUGAUGUACACACGAUUAUAAGUAAAAUAAUAAACAAAUCUGUACAGAUGUUGUAUAGUGGAGCAGGACGGAAAUCGAAGAGUCAAGCAAAAAAAAGUUUCCAGGAAACUCAAACUUAUAAAUCUAUGGAUGAAUUCUUGAAAAAAAAAUAUGAAAACAGUUCGACACAAAUAAAGGUUUUGACAGUAACCAGCCAUUAUUUGUCGGGUGCGCCUGAUCGCGAGGGCGGAAGAAAAUCCUGAAUUCAAAAAAAUAAUUAGAAAACCUGCAAUAUCGAUGUCUCUGUUUUGGAAAUAAUGUUUAUUUUUUUUUAUUUUAUGCGUAGUAAUUAUAAUUUGAAAUAUACAUAUAAGAACUUUACUAUUUAUUUAAUAAUAAGUUAUCUUGAUUAAUAACACGAUGUUAAAUUCGAAAAAUAUUACACAUAAGUAUAAGAAAA